GUGUAGGAGGUAUCGACCCCUUCUGUGCCGUCGUUAACACAAUAAGUACCCCGCCUGGGGAGUACGGUCGCAAGACUAAAACUCAAAGGAAUUGACGGGGGCCCGCACAAGCAGCGGAGCAUGUGGUUUAAUUCGAAGCAACGCGAAGAACCUUACCUAGACUUGACAUCUCCUGAAUUACCCUUAACCGGGGAAGCCCUUCGGGGCAGGAAGACAGGUGGUGCAUGGUUGUCGUCAGCUCGUGUCGUGAGAUGUUGGGUUAAGUCCCGCAACGAGCGCAACCCUUAUUUUUAGUUGCUACCAUUUGGUUGAGCACUCUAAAGAGACUGCCCGGGUUAACCGGGAGGAAGGUGGGGAUGACGUCAAAUCAUCAUGCCCCUUAUGUCUAGGGCUACACACGUGCUACAAUGGUGAGAACAAAGAGACGCAAGACCGCGAGGUGGAGCAAAUCUCACAAAACUCAUCCCAGUUCGGAUUGCAGGCUGAAACUCGCCUGCAUGAAGCCGGAGUUGCUAGUAAUCGCGAAUCAGCAUGUCGCGGUGAAUACGUUCCCGGGCCUUGUACACACCGCC
rnacentral:rRNA from 1 species